rnacentral:rRNA from 1 species
AUGGGAAGUGUUGGCAAUUAUUUGCCUGUCGUUGGUAUGAUCCUGGUGCAACUGGGUCUUGCUGGUCUGAAUGUGUUGUCAAAGCUCACCAUGGCGUCCGGCAUGAGCCCUUACGUGCUCAUCACCUACCGAAAUCUUCUUGGGGCUGUCUUCCUUGCUCCCUUUGCUUUCUUCUUCGAACGAAAAACUUGGGACUCAAUUAGCAAGAAGACACUAUUACAAAUUUUCGUAUGCUCCGUUGUUGGUGCGACGAUGAACCAGGUGUUCUACUUCGUGGGCCUCAAGUACAGCCGCCCGACCGUGGCGUCCGCGCUGAACAACACCCUCCCGGCGGUGACCUUCGCGCUAGCGGCCGCGCUCAAGAUGGAGCCCGUGGCGGCGCUCGCCGGGAAGGCCAAGGUGGGCGGCACGGCCCUCUGCGUGGUCGGCUCCAUGCUGAUGACCUUCUACAGGGGCCCCCUCGUCAGGACCCUGGCCUCCCCGAUCCACUGGCCGUACGUCCAGCGCACCAUGGCCGCCGAGGCCGCGGCCCACGCCGGCGGGCACACUGCGGCCCUCGGAGCCGCCCUGGUCAUCGCCUCAAAUGUCGCGUGGGCCGUCUGGUUCAUCGUUCAGAAGAAGAUGUCCAACAGCUACGCGUCCCCGUACACGACCACGGUGCUGAUGGCGUCCAUGGCCAGCGUCCAGUGCGGCGCCAUCGCGGUGGCCGCGGAGCACAGGCUCUCGGCGUGGGCGCUCGGGUUCGACAUCAGGCUCAUUGGCUCGCUCUACGCGGGGGUAGUGGCGUCCGGGAUUGUGAUCGCGGUGAUGUCGUGGUGCAUCCAGGUGCGCGGGCCGGUGUUCGUGUCCAUGUUCAGCCCCAUGAUGCUCAUCAUCGUCGCCGUCGUCGGGUGGGGCAUCCUCGGCGAGAAGAUACGCGUCGGCAGCAUGAUCGGCGCCGUGUUCAUAGUCGUGGGCCUGUACACCGUGCUCUGGGGCAAGGGAAGGGACAUCGUUGCCACGGAAACUGCGGAAGACGACGAGGAGAAGAAAAUCGGCGGCGGCGAACCCAGCAAUGGGGCCGUCGUCGAUGGCUCGGCGGUCUCGCGGCCAUGCCCCGCUGCUGAUAGUCAUGAGGCAACGGGCAAACCGUAG